UAUAGAGGUCUCAAGCGUUGUUCGGAUUCAUUGGGCGUAAAGGGUGCGUAGGUGGCGCCGUAAGUCGGGUGUGAAAUUUCGGAGCUUAACUCCGAAACUGCAUUCGAUACUGCGGUGCUUGAGGACUGGAGAGGAGACUGGAAUUCAUGGUGUAGCAGUGAAAUGCGUAGAGAUCAUGAGGAAGACCAGUGGCGAAGGCGGGUCUCUGGACAGUUCCUGACACUGAGGCACGAAGGCCAGGGGAGCAAACGGG
rnacentral:rRNA from 1 species